CCAUGCGAGUCAUUGUAGCAAUACAAGGCAGACGGCUCAGUAACGCGUAGUCAAUCUACCCUAUGGACGGGAAUAACCUCGGGAAACUGAGAAUAAUGCCCGAUAGAACAUUAUGCCUGGAAUGGUUUAUGUUUCAAAUGAUUUAUCGCCAUAGGAUGGGACUGCGGCCUAUCAGUUUGUUGGUGAGGUAAUGGCCCACCAAGACUAUUACAGGUACGGGCUCUGAGAGGAGUAGCCCGGAGAUGGGUACUGAGACACGGACCCAGGCCCUAUGGGGCGCAGCAGGCGAGAAAACUUUGCAAUGUGCGAAAGCACGACAAGGUUAAUCCGAGUGGUUUCUGCUAAAGAAACCUUUUGUCAGUCCUAGAAACACUAACGAAUAAGGGGUGGGCAAGUUCUGGUGUCAGCCGCCGCGGUAAAACCAGCACCUCAAGUGGUCAGGAUGAUUAUUGGGCCUAAAGCAUCCGUAGCUCGUUUUGUAAGUUUUCGGUUAAAUCCAUGCGCUUAACGUAUGGGCUGCCGGGAAUACUGCAUAACUAGGAAGUGGGAGAGGUAGACGGUACUCGGGAGGAAGGGGUAAAAUCCUUUGAUCUCUUGAUGACCACCUGUGGCGAAGGCGGUCUACCAGAACACGUUCGACGGUGAGGGAUGAAAGCUGGGGGAGCAAACCGGAUUAGAUACCCGGGUAGUCCCAGCUGUAAACUAUGCAAACUCGGUGAUGCAUUGGCUUAUGGCCAAUGCAGUGCUGCAGGGAAGCCGUUAAGUUUGCCGCCUGGGAAGUACGUACGCAAGUAUGAAACUUAAAGGAAUUGGCGGGGGAGCA
rnacentral:rRNA from 1 species